rnacentral:rRNA from 1 species
UGGGGAAUAUUGGACAAUGGGCGAAAGCCUGAUCCAGCAAUGCCGCGUGAGUGAUGAAGGCCUUAGGGUUGUAAAGCUCUUUUACCAGGGAUGAUAAUGACAGUACCUGGAGAAUAAGCUCCGGCUAACUCCGUGCCAGCAGCCGCGGUAAUACGGAGGGAGCUAGCGUUGUUCGGAAUUACUGGGCGUAAAGCGCGCGUAGGCGGUUUUUUAAGUCAGAGGUGAAAGCCUGGUGCUCAACACCAGAACUGCCUUUGAAACUGGAAAACUUGAAUCUUGGAGAGGUCAGUGGAAUUCCGAGUGUAGAGGUGAAAUUCGUAGAUAUUCGGAAGAACACCAGUGGCGAAGGCGACUGACUGGACAAGUAUUGACGCUGAGGUGCGAAAGCGUGGGGAGCAAACA